AGAACAAUUUAUAUGGUUGUCAAAUUGGUUUUGCAGGAACUAUGAUGGGAAACUCCACUAGCAAAGCCAUACUCAAAGAAAAAUGAUUUAUGUUUGAGUUUGAAAUAGAUGUUGAGAAGUCAUGUCACUUUUAUGUUAGCAUACCAACUACCCACUUGUCUCAGUCAUGACGGGUAAAAAGGGAUUCUACAUUUAGAUAGGCAAAAGAUACAAAUUCAAAUCUUACAUUUUUAUUCCAUUUCUGGGUCUCUGUGGCUGCAUUCCAGCACAACCUCCCUGAAGUGGGGUUCUGAGAACUCCUUAUGAGUGAGGGGUAUGACCAAGGGUCCAAGUGCCUACUCAAAGAGGGAACCAGCUCACUCUCACCAACAUUUCCCUGAGAACACAAACCGUGUAAGUACAUUUCCCAUACGUGGAAUGGAAAUGCUUCUAACCUUUGGCUAAAUCCCUUUAGAUCCUAUAACCAAAAGUGUAUUUUCAAAGGCAGGGUCCAUAAUGGGAAGAACAUGCAGAAUCCAGAGGCAAUAAAAAGAACACAAACCAGAAUGCAUGCCCUGUGGGUGUGUCUCUCCAUUUUCCAUUUUAAUCACAAUAUAAAUAAGAGGGCCUACCAUAUUGUAUCAUAUGGGGAAGGAGAGAAAGAAAUAGCACUAGACUGGGCGCAGUGGCUCAUGCCUGUAAUCCCAGCACUCUGGGAGGCCAAGGUGAGCAGAUUGCCUGAGCUCGGGAGUUCAAGACCACCCUGGGCAAC